rnacentral:lncRNA from 1 species
CUUAAUAUACAAAUGAAUAAAUAUUCAUGACCUCAGAUGAACUAUGUUAGCACUCAUUUUCAAACAAGGUCAAGUAUAUUUUAUGUAAUUUAUCAUUCUUCUUUCUAUGGCUGUAGUGCAUCACCAAGAGCAUUGUCAUGUAAGUUUUAUGUAAUUUAUCAUUCUUCUUUCUAUGGCUAUAGCACAUCACCAAGAGCAUUGAAAGGGACUGAGUAGUUUUUAAAUUAUUUAGCAUAUGCCAAUAGUGUGUGCAUGUCACGGACACAAAAUACAGACUUGAAAUCUAACAAGAAGUUCAAGAAGAAGUGGCAGAACUAGAUUAAACAGAUGAGUACAAGAACAACACCAGAAAGGUGAGCUAGAACUCCAAGAGAUG